GCUUAGCCGUGGACAUGUUUAGUGGCAGCAGGGAUAGCUGAACAUUUUGAUAUAAGAUUUGUGUAGGUGGGCUUGAAAAUGAGGGAGUGGUGGCAGUUUAGAAAUCAUGUCCUGAUUUUUCAGCUUUUGCCAGCUCUAGUUUUGAACAUUUUGCCAUUCAUUCCUAUGGGACCAAUUUCGCCACAAGAAUGACGAUAUUCCGUGAACCAUUCGGUGAAACGUUCCACAAAGUUUCGGUAUAUUACUGUCUAUGUAGUGUAAAAACUGUGGGAGGGGUUAGGGUGGUAAAUUUGGCUAUAAUAAUAUAUAUGUGAGAACAUUAAGUGGUCUUGCUAUGC